UACGAAGGGUGCAAGCGUUACUCGGAAUUACUGGGCGUAAAGCGUGCGUAGGUGGUUCGUUAAGUCUGAUGUGAAAGCCCUGGGCUCAACCUGGGAACUGCAUUGGAUACUGGCGAUCUGGAGUGCGGUAGAGGGUGGCGGAAUUCCCGGUGGAGCAGUGAAAUGCGUAGAUAUCGGGAGGAACAUCCGUGGCGAAGGCGGCCACCUGGACCAGCACUGACACUGAGGCACGAAAGCGUGGGGAGCAAACAGG
rnacentral:rRNA from 1 species